rnacentral:rRNA from 1 species
GACGAACGCUGGCGGCGUGCUUAACACAUGCAAGUCGAACGGAAAGGCCCUGCUUUUGUGGGGUGCUCGAGUGGCGAACGGGUGAGUAACACGUGAGUAACCUGCCCUUGACUUUGGGAUAACUUCAGGAAACUGGGGCUAAUACCGGAUAGGAGCUCCUGCUGCAUGGUGGGGGUUGGACAGUUUCGGCGGUUGGGGAUGGACUCGCGGCUUAUCAGCUUGUUGGUGGGGGAGUGGCUUACCAAGGCUUUGACGGGUAGCCGGCCUGAGAGGGUGACCGGCCACAUUGGGACUGCGAUACGGCCCAGACUCCUACGGUAGGCAGCAGUGGGGAAUAUUGCACAAUGGGCGGAAGCCUGAUGCAGCAACGCCGCGUGCGGGAUGACGGCCUUCGGGUUGUAAACCGCUUUCGCCUGUGACGAAGCGUGAGUGACGGUAAUGGGUAAAGAAGCACCGGCUAACUACGUG